UUUUAACAAGAAGGCAUUGGAUCCGGAUCUAACGAUCCAAAGCAUCCAUCUAUGACCAACUCAUAAUUUAUGUUUUAGAGGUAUCACAACUCAGUUGGGAUUAGUCACUACCUUGCAACCUUUUGGGUUUUAAGCAUUGUUAUAUUCUAAACAGUUAACACUACCAUAUCAUCUCUACUAUAGAGAUAAUCAAUUAGAUUACAAUAAUCUAAUCAUUCAUUAAUAAAGAACAAUGUUUUGUCAAACAAAACAUUCAUCCAUCUCUCAUAGUGAUGGAAUUAAGUUCCUUAAAAUUGGAAUGUAAAGACAAUCUUUGGUUUUUCCAAUUUCUUUGGUAGUUCAUAUGAGGAAGUAAGUACGAUCUGCUUUCGCAGAGAUCUACAUUUGAUUCACGUUCCGAAUGUGAAGUACUUUCUCCUCUCGCAUUAAUCUUCUACUUUUUAUUAGCCACACUUUUACAACGAUUGUAAAACAUAGUUACUAAUA
rnacentral:lncRNA from 1 species